GAGGAUUUAGUAGUAAAUUAAGA
rnacentral:piRNA from 2 species